rnacentral:rRNA from 1 species
AACGAACGCUGGCGGCAUGCCUAACACAUGCAAGUCGAACGAGACCUUCGGGUUUAGUGGCGCACGGGUGCGUAACGCGUGGGAACCUGCCCUUAGGUUCGGAAUAACUCCCCGAAAGGGGUGCUAAUACCGGAUAAUGUCAUCGGACCAAAGAUUUAUCGCCUUUGGAUGGGCCCGCGUUGGAUUAGCUAGUUGGUAGGGUAAAAGCCUACCAAGGCGACGAUCCAUAGCUGGUCUGAGAGGAUGAUCAGCCACACUGGGACUGAGACACGGCCCAGACUCCUACGGGAGGCAGCAGUGGGGAAUAUUGGACAGUGGGCGAAAGCCUGAUCCAGCAAUGCCGCGUGAGUGAUGAAGGCCUUAGGGUUGUAAAUCUCUUUUACCCGGGAUGAUAAUGACAGUACCGGGAGAAUAAGCUCCGGCUAACUCCGUG